rnacentral:rRNA from 1 species
GACGAACGCUGGCGGCGUGCCUAAUACAUGCAAGUCGAACGAAGCUGUUUUAACUGGUGCUUGCUCCGACUUAAACAACUGAAUGGCGAACGGGUGAGUAACACGUGGGUAACCUGCCCCAAAGCGGGGGAUAACAUUUGGAAACAGAUGCUAAUACCGCAUAACCACAGAAACCACAUGGUCUCUGUGUCAAAGAUGGUUUCGGCUAUCACUUUGGGAUGGACCCGCGGCGUAUUAGCUAGUUGGUAAGGUAAUGGCUUACCAAGGCAAUGAUACGUAGCCGAACUGAGAGGUUGAUCGGCCACAUUGGGACUGAGACACGGCCCAAACUCCUACGGGAGGCAGCAGUAGGGAAUCUUCCACAAUGGACGAAAGUCUGAUGGAGCAACGCCGCGUGAGUGAAGAAGGUUUUCGGAUCGUAAAACUCUGUUGUCAGAGAAGAACGUGUGCGAGAGUAACUGUUCGUGCAGUGACGGUAUCUGGCCAGAAAGCCACGGCUAACUACGUGCCAGCCGCCGCAGUAA